rnacentral:rRNA from 1 species
CAUGCAAGUCGAACGAAGCACUUUAUUUGAUUUCUUCGGAAUGAAGAUUUUGUGACUGAGUGGCGGACGGGUGAGUAACGCGUGGGUAACCUGCCUCAUACAGGGGGAUAACAGUUGGAAACGACUGCUAAUACCGCAUAAGCGCACAGGGUCGCAUGACCUGGUGUGAAAAGCUCCGGUGGUAUGAGAUGGACCCGCGUCUGAUUAGCCAGUUGGUGGGGUAACGGCCUACCAAAGCAACGAUCAGUAGCCGACCUGAGAGGGUGACCGGCCACAUUGGGACUGAGACACGGCCCAAACUCCUACGGGAGGCAGCAGUGGGGAAUAUUGCACAAUGGGGGAAACCCUGAUGCAGCGACGCCGCGUGAGCGAAGAAGUAUUUCGGUAUGUAAAGCUCUAUCAGCAGGGAAGAAGAAAUGACGGUACCUGACUAAGAAGCACCGGCUAAAUACGUGCCAGCAGCCGCGGUAAUACGUAUGGUGCAAGCGUUAUCCGGAUUUACUGGGUGUAAAGGGAGCGCAGGCGGUACGGCAAGUCUGAUGUGAAAGCCCGGGGCUCAACCCCGGUACUGCAUUGGAAACUGUCGGACUAGAGUGUCGGAGGGGUAAGUGGAAUUCCUAGUGUAGCGGUGAAAUGCGUAGAUAUUAGGAGGAACACCAGUGGCGAAGGCGGCUUACUGGACGAUUACUGACGCUGAGGCUCGAAAGCGUGGGGAGCAAACAGGAUUAGAUACCCUGGUAGUCCACGCCGUAA